UAUAUAUAAAAGUGCGUGGUUUUCUCGCCACCUCGUGGCGAGUUGUAUUUUUUUUUGUACUCUCGCGUCUUGCGUUUUUUUUUUCCCCCUGUCCGUUUGCGUGUGUAAUUGGUUUUGUGGGUGACUUAUUCAUGAAGCUUUUAAUCUUUUACACGUCUCUCUCUCCCAAAUCGUCGACGAAAAUUGCACAGCCAAAAACCUUUCCCUUCCUUCACAGGCCGAAUGAUUCUGGCACCAAUACCGCUGCGGACGGAAAUCUGUAAAGAUCUUACUCUACUCCCUUCUUUGACUCCUCGGCACCCUCUAACCUUCAUUGCCUCACUCAGUUUCAUCUCUAGAUCUCGAGAGUCAAGACUCCCAAACAGAGAAGAACAACAGUUCAGCAGGUCACGAUUCACCUAAUUCUUCUUCUGCUACUGCUAAACGCUCUGACUCUGAUCCCUCUGCGUUAUCCAAUGAUUUAAACUGGCAAACUAGAUCUGCCACCCUAACAUAUCUGGAAAGUUUUAUCUUUAGAAUCUACUUUUUUCUGUCUUUACAAUUUAUCUUUGGCGUCUAAACCCAUCAAUGACUGAGGUCAUUACUUCUAGCAUAACUGUCAUUAUACGUUCGUAUGGCUGCAUACUGAAAAAACUUGAUUAUUCGAUGUUUUGGUAAAUUUGGAGUCAGGUAUGAAAUAUCAUGUACGUUUUGUUUUGGAUUAUUUUUUAUGCAUGUAUAUCCAGGUUUUAUUUUUUUGUUUUUUUUAACUCAAAUAAUUGUUGUUUCUCUUCAUACUUACAUUGCGUUCUUUAUUUUUUUAUUAUUACUUUAUUAUUUUUCAUCUUUGUUUUUAUGCGGUUCUAAUACGGUGUUUUCUUAGACCGGCCGUUUCCAUAAAUAGAUUUCGUGCCUUUGGUUAUUGGUGAUGGUGUUUAUGUAAGUUGCAUCUCAUAUUUUUUGUACGUUAUUUAAUAUCCAUGUUUUAAUUGUGUUUUUCUUUUUUUACCAGUUUCUUUGUUGUUUAUCUUCAUACUUACAUUCUUUCAUCAUUUUUGAUAAUUACUUUAUCUUUCUUAUCUUUGUUUUCUCAUCCAGGUUUUUUUACCGUGUUUAUGUCCGUUUUAAUGGGGUGUUUUCUUAGACGGGCCGUUUCCGUGAAUAGAUUUCAUGCAUUUGGUUAUUGGUGAUGGUGUUUAUGUAUGUAAGUUGCAUCUCAUAUUUUUUGUACGUUAUUUAAUAUCCAUGUUUUAAUUGUGUUUUUCUUUUUUUACCAGUUUCUUUGUUGUUUAUCUUCAUACUUACAUUCUUUCAUCAUUUUUGAUAAUUACUUUAUCUUUCUUAUCUUUGUUUUCACAUCCAGGUUUUUUUACAGUGUUUAUGUCCGUUUUAAUGGGGUGUUUUCUAAGACGGGCCGUUUCCGUGAAUAGAUUUCGUGCCUUUGGUUAUUGGUGAUGGUGUUUAUGUAAGUUGCAUCUCAUAUUUUUUGUACGUUAUUUAAUAUCCAUGUUUUAAUUGUGUUUUUCUUUUUUUACCAGUUUCUUUGUUGUUUAUCUUCAUACUUACAUUCUUUCAUCAUUUUUGAUAAUUACUUUAUCUUUCUUAUCUUUGUUUUCACAUCCAGGUUUUUUUACAGUGUUUAUGUCCGUUUUAAUGGGGUGUUUUCUAAGACGGGCCGUUUCCGUGAGUAGAUUUUGUGCCUUUGGUUAUUGGUGAUGGUGUUUAUGUAAGUUGCAUCUCAUAUUUUUUGUGCGUUAUUUAAUAUUCAUGUUUUAAUUGUGUUUUUCUUUUUUUACCAGUUUCUUUGUUAAAUGCUUGGUUUAUUGUCCAGGUUUUUUUUUUGGCUGUGUUGAUGUUUGUGUUGUUGAUUUUAUUCUGGGAUGGGACGCAUCUGUAUUUAGAUACCAUGUCUUUCGUGAUUUAGUAUGGUUUAUGUAUGUGUUGUCGUUAGUCGUGAUGCACCAUAAUUCUAUAAUUUUCCGAAAAUAAGAAGUUGGGUUGUGGGAUAUUUCUUCCUAAUAUUUGUCGUUCAUGUUCUGGAUUAUCUGGGAGUUCAUGCAUUUGUAGUUUUGUGUUGUUGAUGUCAUUCUUGGACGGGACGCGUUCGUAUUUAGACUGUAUUUGGCUAUUUGCCCUCUUUUUGGUUACUUUCUCUCGGGUUACUCUGUAACUUCAUAUAUUUUCACAUAGAGAUGAUUUUUUUUGCAGACUUGCAUUGAGUUUAUUACUGUGCAGUCUAUUAGUAAACAUAGACUCCACAUUGAAUCUAUAUCCCCUAAGAUCAUGUUAUUUCUCUUGCUGAUAUAGUUGUAUGAAAAUUGAAUUUUUUUCCUGCAUGUUCGAUGACAUUAAGUAAUUUUAUGUGUUUGAUGGCAUUGAAUUCUAAUAGAAUGUUUGUCGAAGAAAGUCCCCAUUGUCAACGAAGAGGGAGUUAAGCAGAGAUACGCCUUGAUUUCCAGAAAUCAACCAUCGACUUGCAUGUGUUAGGCAUGACGCCUAGCUAGCAUGAUUGGGCCCUGUAGUGAUAGUAAGUGAAACAGUGAGAAUGUUGGUUUACAUAUAAGAGAAUAUUGUCGUUGGCCGUUGGGUGAGUCAUCAAUGGGAUGCAUUCAUUGUGAGUUAAUUUUAGUAUGUUCAGAGUUUUUUUUCCCAUUAUUUUUCUUUCUAAGGGUUGCUUUGGAGCUUUGGAUUUGAAGCUGCUGGAUUGCUGGGCUACGGCCUACAGGUAUUUUUUCUUCAUUAUUCUCUCCUUUCUCGCUAUGUAGAUGUGUCUCUAACUUCUCAUGCCAUGCUUCUAUUUUUUAUUUUGGACGAUUUUGGUGAGGUUCCUCCACAUAUUUUGCUUAGAUAAUUUGGAUGAGAAUGAUUAUUGAAUUUUCGAGUCCCUAGCAUCCAUUUCAUAUGUUUCUCUGCUUUGUUUUUGAUUUCUUACAGUUCUUUGGAUCUUCUCCAGUUGUUGUAUUUGUUUGAUUUGAACUCCGAUGAUUAUGCAUGUUCAUUACAUUUAACUUUGAAAAACUUUGGUUUCUUGCAAUUUUUCUGUCUCUUUUCUCUCCCUGAGUUGCUUAUCUAGGUUAUCACCUAAUUCUGGGCCAUCUAUCUUUUCAGUGUGCUUUAGUUUUUAUGGGUUUGCUCUUGACUAUGUAAGUUGUGUCUCAUAUUCUUCAUACGUGUCUAUCCAAGUUCUAAUUGUGUUUUUUCAGGGUUUUUUUUUACUCAAACCAAUGUUUCCCUUCAUAAUAUCUUUUACCCUUAGUAUAAAUAGAAUGGUUUAGUUGGGUCUUUAAUAUCUGAAAGGCUUUUAUGUUCUUUGCUCAUGCACUGGACCUAAAGUUUUAAGGAGCACAAGACAUGGCCUGUCAUUGAAAGAGAGUUAUUGGUGAAAAUUGGGAAUCAUAUUCGUGACUUUUCUCUGUAGUCAUAUGGUGGUUGUCAUUAUCAUCAUCAUUUUAUUGGAUAGUUGAGCAAAUAAUUUCUACUUUAAAAAAAACAGAGCCACUGGAGCUGGCUACUGGGAGGCCACAGGGAAAUACAGAGAUGUUUACAGUGCUUCAACAGCUUUUGAUCACUGAUUGGAAGCUUGCGGUCAGUCCUAGGGGGUCCUGCCUCAAAGUGAUGCUGGUACCUUCAAUGUUGAGGACAUAAGUGAAACCAUGGAGAUCGUUACUUCGCCAAGUAAAAGAACUUGAGAAUGAUAUGGGGAUGAUGAACAAGAAGAGCGAGAUUGAUGGGGAUAGAGAGAGGAUGUCAAUUGGGAGGAGAACAGUAGUGAUGGAUUGAACAUAUCAAAGUGGCGCUUAAAUGGGAUUGGAGCUAUUUGUUCCUUUGAUGUUGCUGCAGUAUCAGCUUCCCAAUUUAAGUGCUUUCUUAGUCAACUUCUAUACAUGAAUAUUAGUAAUUUAUUCCAUGAAAAUUUUGAUUAGUAUCCUUAUUAAGGGAACUGUAAUGAAAAGUUGUGGAGGUGAAUUUUGGAUGAAAAUUGAACUGGCUGUGAUUUUUUGAAGCAUACAAACUUUUGUCAUAUCAUCGAUCAUUAUCUGCCUUCACAACAACAUUAUCCCGCUGUAACGCGCGGGCUGUCAGCUAGUAAUA